AAGUCGUAACAAGGUUUCCGUAGGUGAACCUGCGGAAGGAUCAUUAACACGUAUCCAAACGUUAAACCCCCCUGUGAACCUUCAGUCGUACUCGUACGUCCGUUAGAAAAAGCAGCAAUCCCUGGUAAAUCAUCGCCGAACAGUUUUCGAUUCAGGGACGUCUGCAAGGAGCGUGCAUGUUGUGCGUGUAAGUGGCCUGGCAUCCCCAAGCAGUUAGUGUCUGAAAGUGUUACUAACGUUAGUGUCUGAAAGUGUCACUAACAUGUGUAAGGAUGACGCAGUCACGAUCGUUGGAGGCCCACACGGCCGACGACCGGGUACCCUGCUCUAUCUAUGGUGAUCCUGCGGGAAGUCCUGCAGUCGAACGCCGAAACCGAACAACUGUUAACAAUGGAUAUCUUGGUUCUC
rnacentral:misc_RNA from 1 species